ensembl:lncRNA
GCAGUAUCGCACAGAAGAAAGUGAGCUGCAGACUGAAGCACGGUGGUGAUGAACAUUUGGGAGAAGAUGAUCUGCAGGAUCCUGCUACUCAUCAUCCUCACCUCAUGUGUCUCUGGAUCAUUUGUAGUCAAUGUGACACAGACCUGCUAUCAGGCAGAGGAGAACCACAACAUCACACUGGAGUGGACGUUCACCACCAAACCUGACAGAUCCACCAAAACUCUCAACGUCCUCUGUGAACUGAUAACUGAGCGUACAGAUUCAGUCCUGUAUCGUGUUCAAGAAGGUGUUGAGGUGUCAGAGUCUCAGGAUGAAAAGUUUUCAGGACGAGUUGAGAGUGACAAAGACGCCCUCAGAGAAGGACGAAUCAGACUUCAACUGUUUAGACUCAGGACUGAUGACUCGGGUCUGUACCUGUGUGAACUGAACACAGAUUAUGGCUUUGGCUCAGCCAGAUGUAGACUCAGCAUCAGUGCUUCGGAUGACCCCAAACGUCCAAGUCCAACAGUGAACACACAACCAGAGAGUCGAGGAUGGCUCAACCUCUGGGUCUGCAGUGGAAGAUUUGUGGGAGCAUCAACCUCAGUGAGAGCUGAGAAACACUGUCUGCAGUCUGUAGCCAUCAUCAAAAACACUGAUGGAAACAUUCAAAGCUCUUGUCACGUAUAUCAUUAAUAAUAUUUCCUUCCUCUUUUGGUUCUAACAUUUGUUUUUGUUAGAUAUGGUAUGAGGAAUCUUUAAUUUUUGUCCAUUAGCAUCCAGAGUGAUUGAAAUCACUUGUUGUUCUCCCAUCAGCUGUUAUAAAUUAGUACUGGUUAAAAUGUGCCUGAACUCAAGUUGUUAAAGGAAUUCUAAGUGUUACAGUGAACUCCUAAUAAUUUGACUAUGGAUCACCAUAGGUAGAAUUUACUUUUUCUAAAGUUAAUGUUUAUGUGUAUAUAUUGUAAACAAGUCCUUAUUUAUAUGAAAGAAGUUAUGAUUCUUCUGUAUAUGUGUGUGUCCAAAUCAUUUUAUCAAAGGGUCAGAAGAUCUUAAAGAGGUCUAUAAUACCAAGUGUAAUCUAACAUGUUUGGUACUAUUACUUUACAAGGUGUAUUACAAGAAGGACAGGAGUUUGAUAAUUAUUUAAAAUAUAUAAAACACUGAAUGUGUACAUAUAAAGCAACAAAGUUGUUUACGCCAACUCUUAAUCGUAACAUUAUUCUACUUAAAGAAUAUUUAGUUGGCGUUGAAAUGACUUUUUCUCUCUCAGCACUGAAAAUCUAACACUUGAUUCUGCUGAGUUUUUCUGCUAUCAGCUUCUGUCUCUGCUUUCAUAAAAUAAAAUGAUCGAUCUUUUUGAUCAACAACACAAACAAUGGUGGUGACACUUUCUGUCGAAAAACACUGCGGCAUGAUGGGAACAGCUGCAGUUGUUUACAUAAAUCAGGGGUGUUGAACUCCAGGUUUUGAGGGCCGGUGUCCUGCAGGUUUUAGAUCUCACCCUGGGUCAACACACCUGAAUCACAUGAUUAGUUCAUUACCAGGCCUCUGGAGAACCACUUUAACUGGUUUUGAACUGGUUCUAACUGAUUAUAGUUGUUGUCAGCCAGUUGUGGCAGAUGACUGCCCCUCCCUGAGCCUGGUUCUGCAGAAGGUUUCUCCCACUUUAAAGUAGUGAUGGGCAGAUGAAGCUUCAUGAAGCACUGAAGCUUUUCAUCCAAUUGGUUCACCCCAGUGCAAAGCUUCUUGAAGCUUCAUUUGCUCUAGUAGGACACCUACUGGACGUAAAAAUAUUAGUUGGCAUGAAUUUGAAGUGUGUGGCCUUUUGCACACAGCCUGUAAAUGUCAACAACAAAAGGAGUGUGUAAAACAUCUAUAUUGUAUUGAUGGCAGUAUACUGUGUAUAUUUAUACUGGCAGUAUGGAAAAUGAUCAUUUGGAAAUGCUUAAAAUGGAAAUAAUCAUUUACUGUGAGGUGAGGUGUGGUUGGGGUAUGGACAGUGGUUGUGCUCUUGUAACGUUGAGGUAUGGACAGCUACACACUGAGGCGUCAGUCCUGCCCAUAUUCUAUUCAGUAAAAACUAAAUUUUCACUGCUUUUAUAACCUUUAGUGGGGAGAGCAUAGCUAGGAUUUAAUGAUUUAACAAAUCUUUUGAAUCCUUUGUCCUCCACAAUGCUAAAUGGCUGGGAGUCCUCAAUCACCAUGCUAACCAGG